GGAUGAGUGACCGAGUGGUUGAAGGUGUCAGUCUUGAAAACUGAAGUGUCCACUAGGAUACCGGGGGUUCGAAUCCCUCCUUGUCCU
rnacentral:tRNA from 1 species